AUGAGCUUUGUCUACUGUCUUUGGCCCUGCCGAAUUUGUGGCCGGCGUGACGGUUACCGUCUCGAGCCGUGGGGCGCCCACGCGAUCCGUAGAUCGAUCUUGUUUGCCUUGCCUUGUCCUCCAACAUAUCUCGUAAGUCCGGCGCAUAUUCCCGUGCCUUGGUACGGGGUGUGGCUUGAGUGGAGGGCCGAGAGGCCUCUCUAUCGCGGCCACGAGGUGGCCGGUCGGCCGCAUCAAGUGCUUCCUCCUUUAAUCGGGGUAGCAACCUGCGCUUUGGGUAGCUCUUGGAGGGGCGUUCGAGUUUAUGCUCUUCGGUCGCAAGGACUUCAGUCCAUCUAUCGACUAGCAAAUCUUGAUCAGCUCUAA
rnacentral:rRNA from 1 species